GCUGGGCGCGGUGGCGCUUGCCUGUAGUCCCAGCUACUCAGGAGUCUGAGGUAGGAGAACUGAGGUUGAGGGAGGCUGAGGUGGGAGGAUCUCUUGAAUCCAGGAGUUCUGGGCUGCAGUGUGCUAUGCCGAUCGGGUGUCCGCAGUAAGUUCAGCAUCAAUAUGGUGACCUCCCGGGAGUGGGGGACCACCAGGUUGCCUAAGGAGGGGUGAACCGGCCCAGGUCAGAAAUGGAGCAGGUCAAAACUCCCGUGCUGAUCAGUAGUGGGAUCUCACCUGUGAAUAGCUACUGCACUCCAGCCUGGGCAACAUAGCAAGACCCCGUCACU
rnacentral:SRP_RNA from 1 species